rnacentral:hammerhead_ribozyme from 1 species
AUCCAGCUGACAAGUUCUAAAUUGGACGAAACAUGAGUCCUGGAU